GACGAACGCUGGCGGCGUGCUUAACACAUGCAAGUCGAACGGAAAGGCCCUGCUUGCAGGGUACUCGAGUGGCGAACGGGUGAGUAACACGUGGGUGAUCUGCCCUGCACUUCGGGAUAAGCCUGGGAAACUGGGUCUAAUACCGGAUAGGAGCCAUUUUUAGUGUGAUGGCUGGAAAGUUUUUUCGGUGUAGGAUGAGCUCGCGGCCUAUCAGCUUGUUGGUGGGGUAAUGGCCUACCAAGGCGGCGACGGGUAGCCGGCCUGGGAGGGUGGACGGCCACAUUGGGACUGAGAUACGGCCCAGACUCCUACGGGAGGCAGCAGUGGGGAAUAUUGCACAAUGGGCGCAAGCCUGAUGCAGCGACGCCGCGUGGGGGAUGACGGCCUUCGGGUUGUAAACUCCUUUCGCUAGGGACGAAGCUUUUUGUGACGGUACCUAGAUAAGAAGCACCGGCUAACUACGUG
rnacentral:rRNA from 1 species